AGCUGUUAUCUACAGACAAAAUGUUUUGAAAACAUUUAUAGGGUCGCUACUCACCCAACAGUUA
rnacentral:tRNA from 1 species